CCCUUCGGGGACAUUGGUGACAGGUGGUGCAUGGUUGUCGUCAGCUCGUGUCGUGAGAUGUUGGGUUAAGUCCCGCAACGAGCGCAACCCUUGUCUUUAGUUGCCAUCAUUAAGUUGGGCACUCUAGAGAGACUGCCAGGGAUAACCUGGAGGAAGGUGGGGAUGACGUCAAAUCAUCAUGCCCCUUAUGCUUAGGGCUACACACGUGCUACAAUGGGUAGUACAGAGGGUUGCCAAGCCGUAAGG
rnacentral:rRNA from 1 species